rnacentral:rRNA from 1 species
UGGGGAAUUUUGGACAAUGGGCGAAAGCCUGAUCCAGCAAUGCCGCGUGUGUGAAGAAGGCCUUCGGGUUGUAAAGCACUUUUGUCCGGAAAGAAAUCCUUGGCUCUAAUACAGUCGGGGGAUGACGGUACCGGAAGAAUAAGCACCGGCUAACUACGUGCCAGCAGCCGCGGUAAUACGUAGGGUGCAAGCGUUAAUCGGAAUUACUGGGCGUAAAGCGUACGCAGGCGGUUUGCUAAGACCGAUGUGAAAUCCCCGGGCUCAACCUGGGAACUGCAUUGGUGACUGGCAGGCUAGAGUAUGGCAGAGGGGGGUAGAAUUCCACGUGUAGCAGUGAAAUGCGUAGAGAUGUGGAGGAAUACCGAUGGCGAAGGCAGCCCCCUGGGCCAAUACUGACGCUCAUGCACGAAAGCGUGGGGAGCAAACAGGAUUAGAUACCCUGGUAGUCCACGCCCUAAACGAUGUCAACUAGUUGUUGGGGAUUCAUUUCCUUAGUAACGUAGCUAACGCGUGAAGUUGACCGCCUGGGGAGUACGGUCGCAAGAUUAAAACUUAAAUGAAUUGAC